rnacentral:rRNA from 1 species
AAAACGACUCUCGGCAACGGAUAUCUCGGCUCUCGCAUCGAUGAAGAACGUAGCGAAAUGCGAUACUUGGUGUGAAUUGCAGAAUCCCGUGAACCAUCGAGUCUUUGAACGCAAGUUGCGCCCCAAUCCUUUUGGCCGAGGGCACGUCUGCCUGGGUGUCACAA